rnacentral:rRNA from 1 species
UACGUAGGGUGCAAGCGUUAAUCGGAAUUACUGGGCGUAAAGAGCUCGUAGGCGGUUGGGUAAGUCGGGUGUGAAAACUCCCGGGCUCAACUCGGAGACGCCACCCGAUACUGCUCUGACUUGAGUCCGGUAGGGGAGUGGGGAAUUCCUGGUGUAGCGGUGGAAUGCGCAGAUAUCAGGAGGAACACCGGUGGCGAAGGCGGUUCUCUGGGCAUUACCUGACGCUGAGGAGCGAAAGUGUGGGGAGCGAACAGG